rnacentral:lncRNA from 1 species
GACUUUCCCCCAUUCACCUUCAUGUAAAUCGCAUCCUUGAAUCUUGUCAUAGCAAGUAUGGUGCACAUGGUGCGGUUUGUGGGCAAACAUUUCAUGGAACUGCUUAGGAGAAGCCUUAAUCUCUACAUCUGCCUCAAGCUUACCUAUCAGAGCUGAAGACGCCAUUGUUUCACUAACAAUAUUUAAUGUGGGAGUGGUUUGUUUGAUGUGGGAGUGAUUUGGUUGAUGUUUAGGCUAGACAUUAUUUAUAGACUAGUGUCAUUGUUUAAGGCAAUAAUCCUGAUACUACUCAAUUUCCUAUUCCUUAAUCAAUUGUCAUUCACCACAUAUUUAAUUUUGCACACUUGGUUACCUUACUCAAUCUUCUUUGAACAAGAAAUAUAAAAGUUUGAUUUUACUCAAGAUUCAUUCAUGAAUAUUUAAAAUAAUAAAUAAUGUUGGAUUCACUUAUUUAAUUCUUUUUUUUUUAUACUUUUCACAUCCAUUUUAUAAUUUAUGUUAAGGGUUCAUAGCUAUUUUUUUAACAAUAUCAUCUUCAAUAUUCAAAUCUAUAUUCUCUUGAGGGUGCAAUGCGUUUGACCAUUAUACCCAAUACUUAAUUUGAUGAGCAUAAAAAAUUAAUAUUUUAAUAAAUGGAUAAAAAAUAUUUUAUGUAAAUAAACAAGUUUGAACAUGAUACCAACAUUAUACUAAAAACAUAAUAAAAAAAAAUGGAUAACAUGAAAAAAAUCAAAAAAUUAAAGAAAACACAACAUUAUACAUUGCAUUAUCAAAAUAUGUUAAAUUCAAAAUGAAUAUAAAAUUGUGAUCAUUUGGAAAUAUAUUAAAGGUGUUCAUAGGUCGAGCCGGGCCGGGCCCAGAAAAAAUUUUGGCCCGCGUCCUAGGCCCGAGCUCGACCCGGCCCGAAAUAUAGGCCUGAAAUUUUGUCCAGGCCCGGCUUGGGAAAAAAUUCCUAAGCUCGAGCCCGACCGGCCCGACCCAUUUUUUUAAUAAACACUAAAAAUUUAUUUUAAAAAUAAAAAAUAAAAAAAGUAUUUUAAAAAUAUUUUAAAAUUAAAAAUAUAUAUAUUUAUUAUAUUCAAGCCGAGCCCAAACCAAAAAAGUGGUGCUUGGGGCCCGGCCCGUUUUUUAAACGGGCCUCAUUUUUUUGCCCAAAUCCAUAUUUCGGGCCUAUAUUUUUACCGGAACCCUCUCAUAUUUCAAGUGGGCCGUCGGGCCGGGCCGGGCGGCCUCUAGAAUAUACCUAACAAGAUAUAAAUAUAUGAAUUAUUGGAUAUUAUUUUAUUUGUCUUGAGAUGAGUUUGUAUCUAUGUGAAAUCAAAGCAAUUUAUUCAUAUUAUAUUUAAUAUUAAAUUAUUCAUUUAUUAGUUUCUAUUUAGAUGAAUUUUUUAAUUGUCAGCAUUAAUAAGUGCGGAUGGGCUUGCACCUGCUGACAUUAUGACACGGGACCAACCAGCUAAGCAGGAUGUUAAUUAAAGAUAGGGUGAAUAAAACUUGCUUUUUGGGUGAGAUUAAUAAAUAAUCCAACUUACUGCUAAUUAAUUGCAAUUUCCAAAAUCCAUUACUGAAUAAAAAUAAUUGUCACCUUAUUGAAUUUCGCUAAUAAGAUUAAUAUUAAUGAGUAGUUCAUCAUAAUUUUUUUAAUAUUUUUCAUACAUAUAAAAUUUUUAUCGAAUUUGAACGCUAGUUGUGACAACAGCCAAAAAGAAAAACUCUAAUUGAUUAAAUGGCUUUGAAAGGCAAUUUAAUUUUUUCAAAAUUUUGCUGGUCAAUCACAUGAUUCACAUGUGUAUUCGCAAGAUAACUUAAUUAUUUUUAUUCAUGUAAAUUAAAAAUUUUUAAUUAUUUAUUUUAUUAAAAAAUUUAACCAUUCAAUAUUUAUUAAUAUAAAUCACAUUACAAAUGAUUAUGAUAGAGAUAAUAUUUAUUCAAUAUUUUAUUAAAUAAUUCCCUCCCAUAAGAUGCUACUAUCAUCAUCGAAGAAAUAUGAAAAUAGAUCACACAUCACGUUAGCCAUAAUUUAGAAUAUCGAUAUCUAAUAAUAGAGCAGAUCUACAAUAUCUGACAAAGAGUGGGGCAAUGCUGUCCAGCAAAUUAAUUCAACAUUUUCUACAUACAAAAUAAAUAGAUGUUGUCAUAGGGAUUUGGUGGAUGUAUGAAAAAGUUUAUAGUUGUAACCUCUUCAAUUCUGUCUAGAAGUUACAUUCGAAUCAGGAGAUUAUAUCGGUUAUCAAAAUGAUUUGGUAAAAUUAUCGGAGUUUUAAAACAGUUAAUUAAAACAUUGGUUUAUUCUUAGAAGAAAACUUGAUCAAUUUACAGAAAAACUCAUGAGUUAUCAAAACUGUUCAGUUUAAUUAUAACGAUGUUUACUAUUGAAAACUUAGUUUAAAAAUUCGAAUUACUUUCUUAACAAAACACAUUUAUAAUUUAGCAGCGAAAAAGUGAUAUUCACGUAAUUUUAAUAAAUACCAUGUUUCAUGCAUAAUUAAAUAAAAAUUCAUAUUCUAAUAGCCUAAAUGAUUUAUGUAACACCCCUAACCAAUAUCUGUCACCAGAACAGGGCUAUGGAGGAUUACCGGAGUUUACAGAUUUAAAAACAGUUUACACAUAUCAUUUACUAUUCAUAACCAAAAUUAAACAUAUUCAAUCAUAAUGUCCCUUGAAUGGGCCCUUGAGACCCAAUUUAUGCUUUAGAAACAAGUCGGGACUAAAUCGGAAACUCAGAGAAUUUUUCGCAAAAUCUCAAAAUUUUUCAUAGGUGCAAGGAACACAGACCAGUGUGGCUAGGCCGAGUGACACGCCCGUGCCCCAGCCCAUGUGGGCAUUCGAUGUGAGGCACACAGCCGUGUCCAUACCUGUGUAACUCUCUGACUUGGGUCACACGGCCAGCCACACGCGCAUAUGCUAGGCCAUGUGGACAAUUUAAUUCUCAAAAAUUAGGUGCAAGGGUGACACGGCCAAGUCGCCCAUGUGUUAGGCCGUGUGUAGACACACGCCCAUGUGUCUGCCCGUGUGAGCAAUUUGAAGCAUUCUAUUUCUCAAAUUUUAAGAUGCAGAGGACACACGGCCAAACCACAUGCCCGUGCGCAUGGCCGUGUGUCACACACGGCUGAGAUACACGCCCGUGUCUCUGCCCGUAUGUCACACAUGGCUGAGACACAUGCCCGUGUGGACAAAAUAAGACCAUUUCCAAGCCUUAUUUCUCACCCAAAUUUGCCUUGCACCUACAUUAACAUUUUAACACAUUCCCCAACCAAUUCAAAACAUUUAGAUCAAACCAAAACCAAUUCUUAUGCAUGACAUAUCAUCACAUAUUUUCAAGUGACCAACUUACCAAAUUGGUCAAAUAUUCAUUUAAGCAUAUUUAUACCUAAUAUGUAUAUCAAUUCAAACACACAACACAUAUCAACAUAAUAUGGUCUCAUACACAUAUAUAUCAAAACAUACCAUCACUAGCCAUUCCAAUGGCUAAUUACAACCAAAUAUUAAUAUGCCAUCAUUUGGUCAAUUUAACCUAUACAUGUCAUUAUACCAAGGGAAAUUUUACUAAUUAUACCUGUAACAGGCCCAAUUUGCCCGGCCCGUUAGUAAAAUAAAACCAAUAUAAAAGAAAAAAUUAAAUGUCCAAAAGCCCAUACUACAGUGGCCCAAAACCAUUUACAAAGACCUAACCCUCCAGCCCCAAUACAUACUAAACCUGUAUGGCCCAACUUAACCUAACCCGGUUGCACAAGCCCAACACUCAAUAGCCCACUAUGUUUCAGGAAACAGAAACCCUAGGGUUUCUAACUCCCCUUCAGCCUCCAAGCGCCGCAGCCAGCAGUCUCCCCUCAUGUGCACCACGAACCACGCCCCCGAGCCACUCCCCACGCACGUAGCAGCACUCACGCAAGCCUCCGUACGCGCGUGCCCGCGCACAUCUGUACGUGCCACGUCCACCCCCAUACGCCGUACCUGCAAAUAAAGCCAAUAAAAGAAAAGAACAUACUGUAAAAGGGAUCCGCUUUUUGAAAAAUCAAUAAAAAAAGAAAAGAACAUAUAGUAGGAAGGGGAAGGUGAUUUCAUUUUUUUUUCUUCGCAUUUCUUUGUUCUUUUUCUUGGCUCUUUUGUUCAUUAACAAUACUAUAAUAAAAGAGAAAAUAAGGUUAGAGAGUGAGGAGUUUACCUGAUUAGCCGGAUCUUCGUUUGCUCCGUCGCAAUCGGAGUCGGACGAUGGUUCAAAGGCCUCUGAGCAAUCUUUUCUGAGCGGCGCGACCUUGGAAUGGGGGGCAAACGUUUAGUUUUUUUUUAAUUUGUUUACGGCUGAUAACUGCUGAUUUUAGGGUUUUAAAGUAGGGUAUUUAUUGUGUGAAAAACGACGUCGUUUAAGGCCUACUUCAGUGGCCUUAAAACGGCGCCGUAUUGGCCCUAUAACCCGCGCGUGUGACCCGACCCGAGGAGGAUCUGCGCAUUCUGACUUAUUGGUUUAUUUGCGCUGAGAGUCCCUUUAUGUUUUGCUUAGUUUCAAUCAGAUUUCUUUCCAUUUUUCUUAAUUUGUAUCGCAUAUUUAACCUUGUUUUCAUUUAAAUCCAUGGUCAAAUGGUGUUGUUUCUGCUAUUGGUUUUGAUUAUUUAUUUUUUGCGUCUAAUUGCUAAUUUAGUCCCGCAAUAUUAAGUCAGAUUUUGAUUUAGUGCAUGAUGUUUUUUUCUCUUUGCUUUUUUAUUUUUACCAUUAGAUUUUAAAUAUAUUUAAUCCUAUUUUGACAUAUAUCACAAAAUUUAGUAUUAUUUUAAUAUUUAGCUUUUGAUAGUUUUUUGAUUUUAUUAUUAUUAUUGUUUAAAAUAUAACAAGUUAUUAUUCUAUAUUAUUAAUUAUACCAUUUUAAUUCAUCGUGUAAUUUUUUUUGUAUUUUGUCAUACGUUUUUAGGAAAAUGUUAAUAUAUUAUUACUUAAUUUAUUCAUUAAUACAUAUUUUUGAUGGUUUGAUAUAAUUUAUAUGUAUAUUUUGUUUUAUAUUUGUUUUAAGAUUUAUCUUUUUAAUAUAUUAUAUUAAAUAUUUACAUAAUAAUAUUUUUUUACAUAUAAUACAAUUCUUCAUACAUACAUAAAUUAUUAAAUAUUUUAAAAUAUAUAUAUGUUAAUAUUAUGAUGUUAGAUAUUAUUAAGAUUAUUAAUUUCGAGAGUUUUUAAUAUGUUUAUAUAUGUAUUUUUAAACCGAUUUUACUUAUAUGUAAUUUGUUUUCUUACUUACUUAUGUAUAUAAUUACCUCAUUAUAUAUAUAUGUAUGGUAUAUUUAUAUGGUUACGUUGUAUACUAUUUUUGUGAAAUUAAUAAAUGUAUAUUAGUCGUUAUGAAUUCGUUUCAAAAUAUUGAUCUAUAAUGUUAUUAUCAUUUUUAUGCCAAAUUUAUUUUAAGUUCAUGUAUAAUGUGAAUAAAAUUAUUGUUGCUACUUUAUUUGUAUUUAUCUACUGCAUAUUUGGCUACUUCUUAGUCUAAGUUUGAAUUAUCAUUUAUCUUUUACAUUACAUAUUUCUUUUAAAAAUUUUACUUUCAUCAUCCUAUUUCAUAUAAAAAAAAGCCUAGCGUUUAUAAUUCUUGAGAGAAUUGUGCCCUAACUUACUGGGUUCCAAUUUUUCUCAAUAAACUUAGGUAGCCAUGUGUUUAUUUUAUUAAAAUCAUACGAUUUUAAAACUAAGCAUCUAAGAUUUCAAAAUGUCAGAUCCUAACUUACUGGAUGUGACAUUCUGUUAUCCCAAUUUUAAAAUAAAGGCAAUGUUUGAUGUUUAAGAACUCCGAGAAAUCGAAACCUAACUCACUGGAUUUUGAUUUCUCGUUUGACUUAAAUGACCGUACAACCUCUUGAAAAUUCAUUUCAAAAUUUGAAAAUACUUAAUUUUGACGAUUGAAUUGUUGCACUCUAACUCACUGAGUGUAGCAAUUUAUUUCUUCAAAAUGAGUGCAUCUUGUUAUUCAAUUUGGUUUAUUCAAAUUUGAACUUUAAAAGGAUCGUAUUUUUAAAAUCUUUUCAAAUCCUCGGCACUAAGACAUUAAACAAUCAAUUCGGUACCAAUUUUGGGCGUUACGAGGGUGCUAACCCUUCCUCGUGCGUAACCGACUCCCGAACCUAUUUUCUCGAAAUUCGUAGACCAAAAAUCAUUUUAAUGGUGAACCGGUCACACCUUAAUAAAAGAUCGAUGGCGACUCCCAUUUUAUUUUCAAAAGUCGAUCACCAUUUUUCAAAAUAAAAAAGUGGUUUCGACAAUACCAAAAUAAGCUGAUGGAUAGUGUGAUCUUGCUCCGACCCGCUUCCAACCUUUACAAGCUUCCAAGUACUAUAAAACAGAGGAAAUAAAACAGAGUAAGCAUGUGAAUGAAAAUCAAUGCUUAGGCAGGGUCACAAACUACAACCAAAAGUCAAAAAGAGUGAAAAUCAAUGUUUUUAGGUUGUUGGUCAUAACAAGUUUGUUGCAUUUGCAGUUGUGCUUGAAGGCGAGUAUGGCCAAAGAUAUAUAGGUGAGGAUGAAGUCUUGGAGACCCAAUAGGUAGAAGGCCAUAGCGACAGGUCCACAACUAAUACCUAGUUCGACAACAUGAUGAUGGAAGAUGUGGAAAUUAAGGAGUUCAAAGUAAGCGUUAUUGAAAUCAAUGGUUGAGGGAGAAGGUGAUAUCCAAGGCUCGACAAAUUUGACGAGAAAUAAAAAGUAAGAUCAGACGUAUAAUAAAAUUUAUUAUUUAUAAAAUAAUUUUAAAAAAAAAAGAAAAAUUUUGAAUUUGGUUUAACUCUUAGGUUUUUAAAAAAUAUGUAUUUUAUUUAUAAAAGUAUUUAUUUUAAUAAAUAAAUUUCUAAAAUAAAUAAAUAAUUAAUCUGUCCGGGUUGGUCGAUAAUAUUUAAAUAGACACGUGAUAAAUAACUCUGUGACCCAUCUCAACUGAUCCAACCAACUCCCACAAAUGUCGGGUUAUCUAAUCUACACCAGGUGUUAUGGAAUAGAAUCAAACAAAAACCAAAUAAAGCUGCAACUUUUCCCAUUCCAUAUACUUGAAUUAUAGCAACAAACAUAUUAGUUUUGUAUUAUAAAAUUUACUAUUUUUUUAAUUUAAAAAUAGUGAGUUAUAAAUUGUAUAAAAAUAAUAAUAAUUGAAUUAAGUGGAUCAAUCACCUGAUUUUAUUGAUCAUUAGUUUUAUAUUGAUAUUGAUUCAUCAAAUAAAUAUAUACAAAAGACAAGAACUAAUUUACCUUUUCAAAUAUAAUAUUAUAUGGAUUGCUAAGAUAAUUGAGAGGGUUAGAUCGCCUUUGAUUCUAAGUUUCUUCAAUUGAAGAACACGAUUUCAUACCAAUUUAAUGGUAAUAUAGUAGUAUCGAUAGGCAUAGAUUGAUUUUAAUAUAAAAAAGAAAACCUAUUAUGCAUCACUCUGCAUCUGUUUAUAUCCAUUAAAUAUCAAUCAUUAUCUUAUUUACCAAAUAAAACAAAAUUUAUAUUGGUAAUAAUUAAAUAUAUUAUCUAUAUUGAUUAUGAAGCCUGAGUUGAUUUUUAGGUUUAUCGGGCAUCAAUCCAGUUAGGAAAAAAAUUGUUUAUUUAUUUUUUUUAAAAAUAAUCAAUAUUAUUAUGAUGGAUUUUUUUUUGUUAUGAAAUAAUAAUAACGCAAAGAACACAGGAAUAAUAGAUGAGAAUAAGGGGAAUUUCUAUUGCAUUUCUCUUCUUUUUCAUCAUCAUUACAAGUAGUAUACUCCUAUAUAUAUAUAUAUAUAUAUAUAUAGGGAGAUUAGACUCUACAUUUUCUAAUACAUAAAUAGGAAAUGGGUUACAAGGAGAUGAAAGGUUAAGAGUUAAGAAGAGGAAAUGUGAAAGGUUGAUUAUAAAUAGCAUCCACUUAAUAGCAUUCAUAGCACUCCCCUUGGAUGUUCAUUGUAUAAAUGAUAUUCCUCAUUAAAAAUCUUACUAUGACAAACCCUGUGGGACAAAAAUCUAGUGAAGGAAGAAAAAGUACAUAAUCCUCUAAUACACAAUAUGUCACAACCUUAAAAGAAAAAUAUAGUGUGAGUUUACUCCCCCUCAUGUAAGCAUCACUUAAGAUCUUUGAGACGACGCAAUCCAAUACUAAAAUCUAACUUCUCAAAUGUAGUGAUAGGGAAUGCAUAAUUGAAUUCUCGAUUAUUCUUCGCAUCGAGUGAGAGGUGUUACAACAGUGCAUAUUUUGAUCACCCUUAUUUGAACAUCAUUUUAUAACUCAAUACUGAGACAUUCAAUCUUAUUUACCAACAGAAAGUCAUCAACAUAUACAACAAAAUUUUGUUUAUGUGUAUCAAUAUAUCAAUAAAAUUCAAUUGCAUUCUCAUGCUUUAGAUGUUGCCAACAACUUUAUAAAGCAUAAUGUAUUGUAUCAUUCAAUAUUACCAAUACAAUGAGUGUAUUGGACACAUAAAUAAUUGAUACUUCAGGACUAUUAUUUUAUAACAUCAUUUCAUGAGCAUUUGUUCUUAUUGAACGCUCAAUCUUUAGGUUAAGAUAAAAUUUAAUUUUUAGAUGUACUUUUAUUAUAAAGUUUAUCUACUGAAUAAUUAUUACUAUUGAAAAUUCUUCAAGAACUCUAAUGAUAUUUGAUACAUUAAUAUCAACAAUGAUGAUAAUAACCUAUAUGCGUAAAUACAUUAAUUAAUAAAAACUCUUUAACAAAAUCAUAUUCACAUUUAAUGAUUUUUUCAUCAAACUUGAGUUUUAUGCUUCAGGCAUCAAUAUUGUCAAAUAAUUUAUAUCAGCCGAAUACAAAUUUACUAGACCUAAAUAAAUAAUUUUGCUAACAUGUAUUUUUUGCUAAAUAAAUAAAUAAUUUAUAUCAAAUAAACUUGUAUUUUUUUUCGCUAUUAUGCUAACAUGUACUCCGCUUGGCUUUACACCUUCCGGUGUUUGGACUUCAUAUCUAAGAUACAUUACAUAAGUUAUAAUAGAAGUGUUUAUUUAUUUUGAUGACUUUUUCUCAUCUCAAUUCUUUCAAGUAUAUUUUCAUUCAAAAUCGUCACUUUUCCAUAAUAUUGAAGUGAUCUAUGUAUAUUAUCAUUGUUGAAAAAAAUUUCCUUUUGUCAGCUCCAUCAUCUUUGGUUAUGACAUAACUAAUUGAUAUAUCUAAUUAUAUUCAUAAUUUUAGGUACCUAAACCUCUUCUAGGGUUUUAUCAAAAGUUCUGCCUUGGGUCUCUUCAUGUCACACCCCGAAAUAUAAAGAAGAAAUGAGUUAUAGGCUUAAUGGUUAAAAGUUAGCAAAUCCUUCAUAGAGAUCCUAGGUUCAAGCCCCAUCCUUCCCCUUUCAUUUGCUUUUAAUUUUUGGCAAGAUUGGGUAAAUUACAUGCAUCGCCCCUAGGGUUUACUAGCCCUAGGUAUUUAACCAAUUUUUCCUAUCUUAUUUUUCACUUUGCCCCUUCCCAAAAUUCUAAUAGAAUUAGUUUUCCAUUUAUUUUUUCUCUCGUUUUUCUUUCAUUUUAGCACCUUAUUUCCUUCUUUGUGCUGUUAAUUAUUUUUCUUUCCCCUAUCGAAUUGUUUUCUGUUCGUUUAAUUUCUAUCGAUAUUUAGAAUCAUCGUCAGUAGCAUUUCAAAUCUUUGCCGAUAACUACACUUCAUUUCAAUUAUUAGAUUUCGUAAUUCUGUUGUACGAAUAUCCAAUAUUAAUCUUUCAGUUCAAUCAAUCAAUUUUUUUGGGAUCUUGUGAAAUCUUUUAUAAUCUUGCCAAAUCUUGAUACCAACUGUUAAUUCGUGAGUAUUUAUCGUUGAAGGAUCGAAUCUAGGUGAAUAAAAUCAAAAUCGAUUGUGAAAAGCGCCAAUUGGACCCAUGGUGAAAGGUGUGUGUCUUUUCUAAGUGAAUCGAUAGUGAUAGUGUGGAGUUUUAGGACCACACGGUCUCCCACACAGGUGUGAGGACCACAUGACCAUGUGCACUUGUAAAUUUUAGGGUAGUUCAUGCUCCACAUGGCAUCAGGCUAUUACAUGGUCUGCCACACGGUCAUGUCCUUAUUGUAGGGUAUUUUAUCGUUUUUCACACGACACCAGGCUAUUAUAUAGCCUAGAUAUAUGACACUGUACCCCUUCCCACACGGCAUCAGCCUUCUACACGGCCCUGUGACUUCUAUUUUAUAAUUUUGCCUAGAAAUUUGUGAUAUGUUCAAUUUAGUCAUUGCAUAGUCCCUGAAUUGUUUUAAAUUUUAUAUUCACUUAAUUGAGACCCUAAUAUUAUGAAUAUUCUAAAAUCUAUGAUCUGAUCGGCUGAAUUGAAUAAUUAUAAUGUAUGAUAUGUGAAUGAUACAUGCCUACUGUCAUUGUAUAUUCGACAAUUUGUUAUUGCUGCUACUGCUUUUGUUUUAUUGAUUGCAUGUUCAGCAUACCUACUGCUUCUGUUAAACUGAUUGCAUGAUAAGCAUGACUACUAUUUUUGUACUAUUUUGUUACAAGCAUGUCAUAUUGCAUUACAUGGGUGGGAUGAUAUGAAUGGAGUAAGUACUGGCAGUUUAAUAAUCUGCAAACACUGGUGGUUCCCACAACUUACUGUCAGUUUAUCUGCAUACUUUUUAUCUGAAAAUAAUAGUGGUUUACCCACUAUUUUUAUUACUGGUAGUUCAUCUUCAAUUACUGGUGGUUUAUCCACGGCGUGGUGUGUAGGAAUGGAUGCGUUCUGGGGAACUCUUACUGUGAUGUGUUGCGGAGUUGGGUAGGAUCUUUUCUAAUAAACUGAAAUUACAUUUCCAAUCAUGAGCGUGCACAAGCAAAUAAAAAAUUAUGAAAUGCUAUAUUGAUGUGUUAACUGAAAAAUUGAUAUUUUGUAAGCCAUGUUCUCUGUAUUGCUGUACCGAUUAUGAUUGUUCUGAGAAAUUUUAUUUUGUGUGUCUUGUCUUUUUUUUUGACUAAUUUGUCUUGUGUUUAGGCUCACACUGAGCCUCUUAAGCUCACCCCCUUAAUUUCCAACUUUAUAGAUAACCCACAAGAUUAGGACAUACACUAGACAUUCGGAGGGCUUGUCUCUUAUAGUGUUUUUUAUAAAAGUAUUUUAGACAUAUUAUUUAUAAUGUCAGUUAUUUGGGAACUAAUUUUUUUUAUAUGAACAGUGGCAUGAGACUUAAAUUUUGGGGUUAAUUAUUGACAUGCCUGACAUUUAAGUUGAUUAGGUUAUUGGAUUUUGGAAUUUAAUUAAAGAUGCAUGAAAUUUGGUUUUUAAAUUAAAACCCAAUCGAUUAUCACUUUUUCGAUGCAAUAUAAUGAAUGAAUUUUUGAGUAGUAAAUAAAUUGGAAGACAACUUUUUGCGAAGAAAACAUUAAAAUCAACUGGUUUUUGGAAAGAUUGUAUUUUUUGAAAACACAAUAAGUUUACUAAAAAAUAUUUAAGCAAAAAUAUUGAAGUUGUUGAUACUUCAAUCUUAUUCAAAGCCUUAGAUCAUAAAUAAGCAUACCAUGAAAUAUAUAACACAUAAAUUCAUACUUAACUAUUAAAAAAAUGAAAUGAGCGUCAUUUUUAACUCUCUUUUUUUCAUUAAGAAUAUUGAAAUCUUAAAAUCUUUCAAGCAUGAAUAGAAAAUCACAUACCUUAGGAUUGUUGCUUCAAUAAGAACGUUGUGCAUCUAUAUUACUUGUUCUCCAACGAAAUAUUGAAUACUAUUGAGUAAGCUCAUGCUAAUAAUGUGUUAUAAAAUAAUAAAUCAAAGAACACAAGAAUAAUAUAUAAGAAUAAGGGGGAUUUCUAUUGCAUUUCUCUUCAUCAUCAUUAUCAUUACAAGUCGUAUACUCCUAUAUAUAUAUAUAUAGGGAGAUUACCACAUUUGCUAUUAGAUAAAUAGGAAAUGGAUUACAAGGAGAUAAAAGGUGAAGAGUUAAGAAAGAUGGAAAAUGAAAGGUUGAUUAUAAUGAACAUUCACUUUAUAGCAUUCAUAACUUUUUUCAUGUUUUUAUAUAAAUUUUAAAUAAAACAACUAAAAACAACAAAUACAAUAAUUAUACAUGUUUUUAAUAAAUUUAAACACAAAUUCUUUGCCAUUCACCAACAUUAUUGAACAACUUUUUUAAAGAACAAAUAUUUUCCAUAAAAUGUAUUUUCACCCGAUUAAUAGGUGUUACAAUCCCUUUCAUGUUCGUACACAAUUAAUGAAUGGUUCUACAAUUUUUUUAAAGAAAAGUAUUUUACAUAAAAUAUUUUACAAUUUUAAAAUCAUUAUUAAUAAAAUGAUCGUACAAGCCCAUACAUGCGCGGGCCCAAAAACACAAAAAAAUCAAAAAACCAAAUAAAAAAUAAAAAAUAAAAGUCCAUUUACAAUUAAAGUCCAAAUUACAAUAAACCCGAAUUACCCAAAAAUUAAACCCAAAGCCCAAUUUAUUAAUUCAACCCUAGCCCAAUAACCAAAUUACAAACGCAUUUCUAGCCCACUAGCCCAAAACAAAACAAAAAAAAUUAAAACCCUAGCAGUAACAGCAGCCACCAGUCGCUGCCCUCCGUGUGUGCUGCGCCACCGCCACGCGCGUGCCUCGCAUGCGAACCGGGCCUUCUCCGGCUGGCCAUACACCUGCAACAAGCUCAACAAAGCAGCAAGCCAAACCAAAAUAAUAGCAAAUAAUAACAGAAAAUAGGAAAAAAUGUAAAAAAUAGUUUCGAGAAUUUCAUUUUUCUUUCUGUUUUGGCUAUAAAAGGAGCCAAUCAAAGCUAUAAAAGUGAUUGGAAAAAAUCAAUAAAAAAAGAGAACAUAUAGCAGUGAAUUUUUAAGGUGAUUUUCCGAUUUCCAUUUUUCUUUUUUUUUCUUUCUUUUGUUUCCUUUGAUUUGUUUUUAUUGCAAACUAAAAAGAAACGAAAGAGGCCAUACCUACGUGAGUGUGUCGUCAGAAUCUCCACGUGCUCUGUUCCAAAUCGGAGUUGAGAGUGGAGGAUUUCUGGCUUGCGCAGCGACGAAAAGAAAUAGGGUGGUGGCUACUGAUUUUAGGGUUUAAAAGGGGCUAUUUAAAGUAGGAAAAACGACACUGUUUAGGGCCUGUGUCAAUGGCUUUAAAACGGUGUCGUAUUGAGCCAUACCCGAUGACCCGAUCCAGAUGCGGCUAGAUCCGCGCAUUUUGGUAUGAGUAGGGAUAUUUUCGCACCAAGUCCUUCUGUUUUUGUGCCAUGGUUCAAUCUAGUUUUUUUGAUACUUUAAUUUUGGCCAUAUAAUUUUCUGCUGGUUUCAUUUCGAUCCAUGAUGGGACGCAGCGUUUUGGAGGGCAGGGAUUAAUUUCCAUUUUGGCCCUUUCCUGUUAUUCGUGCGUUCAAUGUGGUUCAUAUCCUUUUAUUUAUUUCAUAUUUGCCGCUAAAUUUCUGUUUUAAUUUCAAAUUAGUCCUUCUGUUAUUAUUUUAUUUUAUUAUGUAAUAUUAUUUUAAGUUUUUCAUAUAUUAUAUUUUAAUUUCAUAAUGUAUUAUUUUGUUUUUUUUAUGUUAAUCUAGUAUCAUUUGUAUACAUUUUUAUGAUUUUAUCUUAUAAUAUAUUCUUAAAAUCUAUUUUUAUAUAUUUCUAACUUUAAAGAUUUAUACAAUAAUAUUUUCAUAAUUCCAUUGCGUAUAUGUAUAUACAAUUUACAUUGAGUUAUUUUAUCAUACAUAUAUGUAUAUAUAUAAUAUACUAUUGAUUUCAAAUUAUAUAUUUUUUUUACCUAUUUUCUAUAUAUAAAUAUGUACUUUAUCUCUUUUAAAUAUUCUAUUUUAUUUUACUUGUUUUAACUAUUACAUAUAUUAUUAUAUAUAUUAUUUAUAUUGAGUGUUUCAUUUCAUAUGUAUUACUUAUUUAGAUUAAUAUAUGUGUAUUAUUUAUUUAUUUUGAUUUUCUUCUUAUAAUACUUACUUUAAAAUUCACUUAGAUAUUAUUAUUCAUUUUUAAAUUUUAUUUUUAAACUAUUUCAAGUCUUCACAUUAAUUCCUUCUUUUUAAUUUUUUAUAUACGUGUAAUUUGUGUAUAUAUAUUGAUAAUUUCAAAUUUCUUUUCUCUCAUGUUUUUUUUAGUUGUUUUAAAUUAGUUACAUUUUAUUUGUGAUAGGCUUUUAGGUCAUUACCUUUUAAAUGUUGGUGUUAAUAUUUUCAUGUGAUGUGAGAUUAUUGUUAUUAUGUACAUUGUAUUGCUUGUUUGUAUUGAUUGAUUAUUUGCGUUCAUUUGUAUGUAUUUUGGCUUACGAAUUAUUCUUUCGCGGUAUACAUUGUCAUCCCAUUGUGUUUUAUUUGUCAAAAAGAUUAUAUUCCAUUUAAACAUUAAAAUCGUUUUAUUCAAAAGUUUUCAAAAUAAAGCAAUACUUGAUAUCCAAGAUUUUCGAGAAGAUUGUGCCCUAACUUACUGGGCUUCAAUUUUCUUCGUUGAAUUUAAGUAACCGAGUAUCCCUUUUUAAAAUCAAACGUAAAAAUUUCAAAUCAAAGCUUAUCUCAAGAAUUAGAAACGUUGUGUCCAAACUCAUUGAAUAUAACCCUUCGAUAUCUCGAGACGAGAUUUUUUUAAUAAAGGCAAACUUAUAUGUCGUCUUUGGAACUUCGAGAAAUUGUGCCAUAACUUACAGGGUUUCGAUUUCCUCAUUGAACCAAGAUGGUCAAACACCUUUAGUUUUCAAAUACACAAAGUUUCAAUAAAGUUUUUUAAAGGUUAGCUUAUGUUCAGGAAUUCAAAUGUUGCAUCCUAACUUACGGGGUACGACAUUUUGUUGUCUCAGGCUGAGAAAGCCUUUUUACAUUCGUUCAAAUCUAUCCAAGAAUUGUUUUAAAAUAUGACAUUAAUAAAAAGGGGAAAUCAUUUUUAAUCUCUUCGAAUUUUCGAAAUUUAACUUUAAGACAUUAAAUAAUCAAUUCGGUAUCAAUUUUGGACGUUACGAGGGUGAUAAUCCUUCCUCGUACGUAACUGACUCUCGAACCCCUUUUUUUUUUCUGAAACUCGUAGACCAAAAUCAUUUUUAAAGUGAUCCGAUCACACCUCAAUAAAAGAUCGGUGGCGACUCUAACUUUCAUUUUUUAAUUCGACAAGAUUUUUUACUUUCAAAAAGUGGUUUCGAGAACGAUUUUGUUAAAUGGUCCUACACACUUAAAUGGCCCUACUUUGAUAAUCACAUUUCUUGCGUCUUUACACCACUGGCAUAUAUGGAUUACAUUAGGUGUUGGUUGCCUUUGUAGUCACCUUCCACGCAUUGCAGUCUCUCAAAGUCCCCGGUUUCAGGUUAGCAUGCCAUGUACAUUGUGUUUGAUGAAAUUUGUGAUUCAAAGUCGAGCUUUUAUUCAAUAUAGAUUGAUAUGGGAAUAUGUGGUUUCACCUCAGAAUCACCUUGUUAUGAGGAUAUUUUUAUUUGAAUUGUUCAUAUGUACCUGAAUUUAGUUCAUCACAAAUAACUUGUUUCCCCUCUUCAUGCAAGAUAAAGAACUAAUCAAUAAACUAUCUCAUUUGUUGGAAAAAAAAUAGAUUUUUUGGAAAUUUUGAGGCAUAUUCUUGAUUAGUAAAGGUGGAGAUUUGAUUCAUAAAACUGUAGUUUUAUAUUCUACUCCAUGAGAUCUUUACAACGGUAUAUUAUAUGCUUAAAAUGGUUGAGUGAUGAAUGAGAAAUUGAUACUCAAAGUAAGACACUUGUGAAUUAUAUAACGUAAGUGACUAAAACGUAAUAUUUCAAACAUAAAUGACUAAAAUGUAAUCUGAGGCAAACAAAAGUGACUAUUUUUGUAGUUUACCCUUUUUUUAAUAAUAAAUAUAUAUUUGCAAAAUCGUGGAAUUGAAUUGAUUCAAAUUAUGAUGGAUUAAUAAAGAUUUAUUUGACCUGUAAGAAGGGCAAGAGUAUGGGAUUUGAUUAAUUUGAGAUUGUUAAGAUUUUGCAGGAAUAGCAACAUUAGCCAGAAUCCAGGAAUGUACCUUUAUUCAGAUCGUGAUAAUCUUGUAAGCAAGGCAACUAUGACAAACCAUAGCAAAUUGAUGGGAUUUUGUCCCUCCUUAGGUUUCUAUUUGAGGAAAUUCAAAGGAGAGUCACGACUAGGAGCGCAAGCAUACGACCAUCACAAGAAAUUCUGUGGAGAGAUUGAAUGAUUUUGAAGAGCUAAAGCCGAGACCUUCAAGAUCUUCCUUUGCAAACACUUUGAGUCCAAUUGGGUUUUCAAAAUACUUAGUUUCUGGUUCGGAAAUUGAUUGAUCCAUCUUGAAACUCAAAAUCUCCCUUGAAGGAAAAAGAAAAUAAUAGCUCAAAAAUGAAAAGAGAAAGAGUGGAAAUAGAUUACGAAAUCAUACUUACUUAUAUUCAUUAGAACACAAAUAAAAGCAUAGGAUACAUUGAAUUCAUACAGAAUUAAAAAGACAAACAUGCAAGAAAAUACAAAGCUCCCUCCCCUUGACUGCAUAUUGAUCUAAACAUACAUAUUCAGAUCAAAAUACAUGAGAAAGGAAGUCACUUUAUUCAUUAAAUAGAUGAACAGUGCUUCAAGUAGCGGCAACAAUAGCAACAUGUGAUACUGUUUAGCUUGCUUGGGUGAGGUGGGCGUCAAUGUCUUUAGAGAUAUCUUGAACGAAUUGCAGCAGAGUCUCAGGAUGCGCAAUCCCACCGUGCAGCUUCUCGUAUUCCAAAGUCCAGUGCACUACGCUGCCACUACCCUCGCCCUUGGGCGAAACUUGAAUCGUGAUUACAAAGCUCUUAUACUCUUCCAUUAGAUCUCCUUCGAUCACUCUGAAAGUGACCAAAUUCUUAUCAGGGUCUACUGCUUCCACUACUUCCUUUGCCUUUUUAGCCUUUCCAUCUAAACAAACAACUUGUUUUCUUUAACAAAACAAAAAGAGCAACAAAUCAAGCGAUAAGCAUGAAAAGAAACUUUGUUAUGUUAUAUCAUACCAUGCACAUAACUCCAAUGGACAAUGGUACCGACUUUUCCCCAUUCACCUUCAUGUAAAUCGCAUCCUUGAAUCUUGUCAUAGCAAGUAUGGUGCACAUGGUGCGGUUUGUGGGCAAACAUUUCAUGGAACUGCUCAGGAGAAGCCUUAAUCUCUACAUCUGCCUCAAGCUUACCUGUCAGAGCUGAAGACGCCAUUGUUUCACCAACAAUGUUUAAUAUGGGAGUGGUUUGUUU